AGAGUUUGAUCCUGGCUCAGAACGAACGCUGGCGGCGUGGAUUAGGCAUGCAAGUCGAACGAUCUCUUUCUUCGGAGGGGGAUAGUGGCAAACGGGUGAGGAACACGUGGGUAAUUUACCUUUAGAUUUGGGACAACUUGCCGAAAGGCAAGCUAAUACCGAAUAAGACUACGACUUCACAGAAGUAGUAGUUAAAGGCGGGGAUCUUGAAAAUAGACCUGUCGUCUAUUGAUGAGCCCGCGUCCUAUCAGCUUGUUGGUGAGGUAAAAGCUCACCAAGGCGAUGACGGGUAGCUGGUCUGAGAGGAUGGUCAGCCACACUGGGACUGAGACACUGCCCAGACUCCUACGGGAGGCUGCAGUCGAGAAUCUUUUGCAAUGCCCGAAAGGGUGACAAUGCGACGCCGCGUGAGCGAUGAAGGCCUUAGGGUUGUAAAGCUCUGUCAGCAGGGAUGAAUACAGGAGGGUUAAUAACCUUUCUGUUUGACGGUACCUGCAGAGGAAGCCCCGGCUAACUCCGUGCCAGCAGCCGCGGUAAUACGGAGGGGGCAAGCGUUGUUCGGAUUCACUGGGUGUAAAGGUCAUGUAGGCGUUCUUUUAAGUCGGGUGUGAAAUCCCAUGGCUCAACCAUGGAACUGCAUUCGAUACUGGAAGAAUUGAGUACUUGAGAGGUAAGCGGAAUUCCGGAAGUAUGGGUGAAAUCAGUAGAUAUCCGGAAGAACACCAUUAGCGAAGGCGGCUUACUGGCAAGAUACUGACGCUGAAAUGAGAAAGCUAGGGGAGCAAACAGGAUUAGAUACCCUGGUAGUCCUAGCUGUAAACGAUGGGCACUAGGUGCAGGCUCGCGAGAGUCUGUGUCGUAGCUAACGCGUUAAGUGCCCCACCUGGGGACUACGGUCGCAAGGCUAAAACUCAAAGGAAUUGACGGGGACCCGCACAAGCGGUGGAGCAUGUGGUUUAAUUCGAUGCUACGCGAGGAACCUUACCUGGACUUGACAUGUAAGAAGUAAGAACCUGAAAGGGAGAUGACCGGUUUCAAUCCGGAACUUACACAGGUGCUGCAUGGCUGUCGUCAGCUCGUGUCGUGAGAUGUUGGUUUAAGUACCGCAACGAGCGCAACCAUCGUCCCUUGUUGCUAUCCAUCUUCGGAUGGAGCUACUCUAGGGAGACUGCCAGUUUUUAACUGGAGGAAGGAGGAGAUGACGUCAAGUCAGUAUGGCCCUUACGUCCAGGGCUACACACGUGCUACAAUGGUCGGUACAAUGAGUCGCGAUACCGCGAGGUGGAGCUAAUCUCAAAAAGCCGGCCCCAGUUCGGAUUGGAGGCUGCAAUUCGCCUCCAUGAAGUUGGGAUCGCUAGUAACCGCAAAUCAGCCAUGUUGCGGUGAAUACGUUCCCGGGUCUUGUACACACCGCCUGUCAAGUCACCUGAGUCGAGUGCACCCGAAGCCGUUAGCCUAACCUUUACGGGAGGGCGACGUCGAAGGUGUGUUUGGCAAGGAGGACUAAGUCAUAACAAGGUA
rnacentral:rRNA from 1 species